CUUGGUGGCUGCCAAAUUCAAGAGAGAGAGAAAGAGAGAGAGAGAGAAGGGGCACGAGAACUAGAGAGAGAGAGAGAAGAGAGAGAAGAGAAAGAAGGAGAAGAAAAGAGGAGAAACUUUGAAGUCAUAGAGGUUGGUUGAAGUGGUGAAUAUUUUGUGUUCUUGAUUUUACAAAUCAAGAGAGGAAAAAGUGAAUGGUUGUUAGCGUGUUGAACGCGACACAACAAAGGGGUUACUAAGGAUAUAAGGCGUAACCCGAGUUACUAAGGUAAUAAAUAGGGUUUUCUCUUUGGCACGCACUGUGAUGUGAGGAGUUCUGACGUCAUAGUAUGUAUGGCGUGGGGGUAUCCUAUGGGAGAAUAAAACGAUCAACUUAAACACAAAAUUUUAAAGAACGAGGUUAUGGACUUUAAUUUUUAAAACUAUCAGUGGGACUUAAACUUUAUUUAUUUUAAACGCUGCAUAAAUACUCUCAUUUUUAUUUUAAACUAUUGGGUCCAACUCUCAUGUUUGAUCAAGGCCCCACUGGAUCUCAUAUGUUAAGUGGUUUUCCUCUAUAAUUUUAUUAGUAUGGAGACGUUUAGCAAAGUAGUAGUUUAGGGCGUUUUAAAAAUGGUAUCAGAACUGGUCGUCUAUGUUUCAAAGGACCCUCCCCAUACACGCUAAAGAUGGGAAAAUCUCACCUCACCACGUCUUAUGGUGGCGAAAGAAUUCUUCGCAGCUUGGGGUUGUGUAUUAAGGAUGAAUGGAGUUGGUGGACUGCAUGAAGGAUUCGAGGACGACGUUGUUUUUAGUUUUUUUAAUUAUGUUUUUUAUGUAUUUUCCGCACUUGGUUUUGUAACAAAUUUAUUUAAGAUUUAAGUUAUGUUUUAUUUUUAAAACAAUGGCAUCCUAUACCAUACCCCGGAUUUAUGUAUUUCAACAUUUCCUUUAUGGUUUCUUUUAUAAAUUUA